UACAGAGGUCUCAAGCGUUGUUCGGAUUCAUUGGGCGUAAAGGGCGCGUAGGCGGUGCGGUAAGUCACCUGUGAAAUCUCCUGGCUCAACUGGGAGCUUGCAGGCGAAACUGCCGUGCUGGAGUGUGGGAGAGGUGCGUGGAAUUCCUGGUGUAGCGGUGAAAUGCGUAGAUAUCAGGAGGAACACCGGUGGCGAAGGCGGGUCUCUGGGCCGUUACUGACGCUGAGGAGCGAAAGCGUGGGGAGCGAACAGG
rnacentral:rRNA from 1 species